CGGGGGGGGCAAGCGUUGUUCGGAAUUACUGGGCGUAAAGGGCUCGUAGGUGGCCAACUAAGUCAGACGUGAAAUCCCUCGGCUUAACCGGGGAACUGCGUCUGAUACUGGAUGGCUCGAGUUUGGGAGAGGGAUGCGGAAUUCCAGGUGUAGCGGUGAAAUGCGUAGAUAUCUGGAGGAACACCGGUGGCGAAGGCGGCAUCCUGGACCAAUACUGACACUGAAUAGCGAAAGCCAGGGGAGCAAACGGGAUCAGAUACCCCGGUAGUCCUGGCCCUAAACGAUGAAUGCUUGGUGUGGCGGGUAUCGAUCCCUGCCGUGCCGAAGCUAACGCAUUAAGCAUUCCGCCUGGGGAGUACGGUCGCAAGGCUG
rnacentral:rRNA from 1 species